AUUGAUUAAUAAACAUUGUUACAAGAGAAAUUCUUUAGCAAUACUCUGCUAACAAACACAAACAAAUAAAAAGACAAUGAGAACGUAAAGGAAACACAAUUUUAUCUUAGAGUGAGUCAAGACUUGAGUAACACCUCAUAAUAAUUCCAACCCAAGGGAUGAUUUGCACAGUAUGUAAAAUAGGUUCAGAGGUAUAUAGAAUAUAUCCCAAUAUUUAACUAUCCAGAAAAAAUAGAAAGAAAUGGAAUCAGUGUGAAAAUGGGUGUAAAAGGGAAUAAACACCACCUCCACACCGAUCGCAUGCACCAGGAGGGAACUCCAGCAAUGCCCAUGGGCUUAACCCUAGAUACCAGCAACAGAAACAAAAAAGCAAACAUUCACAAACUGAAUAUAAUGCUGACUGGAGAUAAAGACGUAGGCACCAAAGCAUCCAG